rnacentral:rRNA from 1 species
UGGGGAAUAUUGCACAAUGGGCGCAAGCCUGAUGCAGCGACGCCGCGUGAGGGAUGACGGCCUUCGGGUUGUAAACCUCUUUCAGUAGGGAAGAAGCGUAAGUGACGGUACCUGCAGAAGAAGCGCCGGCUAACUACGUG